GGCACUAUAGCCAAGUGGUUACGGCGACAGAUUCGAAUCUCAUUAAAUUUGCUAUCUGUUUCCCUCUGGGAGCGCAGGUUCAAAUCCUGCUGGUGUCG